UUGAACGCUGGCGGCAGGCCUAACACAUGCAAGUCGAACGGUAACAGGAAGAAGCUUGCUUCUUUGCUGACGAGUGGCGGACGGGUGAGUAAUGUCUGGGAAACUGCCUGAUGGAGGGGGAUAACUACUGGAAACGGUAGCUAAUACCGCAUAACGUCGCAAGACCAAGAGGGGGACCUUCGGGCCUCUUGCCAUCGGAUGUGCCCAGAUGGGAUUAGCUAGUAGGUGGGGUAACGGCUCACCUAGGCGACGAUCCCUAGCUGGUCUGAGAGGAUGACCAGCCACACUGGAACUGAGACACGGUCCAGACUCCUACGGGAGGCAGCAGUGGGGAAUAUUGCACAAUGGGCGCAAGCCUGAUGCAGCCAUGCCGCGUGUAUGAAGAAGGCCUUCGGGUUGUAAAGUACUUUCAGCGGGGAGGAAGGGAGUAAAGUUAAUACCUUUGCUCAUUGACGUUACCCGCAGAAGAAGCACCGGCUAACUCCGUG
rnacentral:rRNA from 1 species